UUAAACCUCGGCCCGGGCGGGUCCGAGGUGAGGUGGUCGACGGCAUAUACCGCCGCCACCCACUGAGUGGCGACAGAGAGCACCACUUCUCUCUCCCCAAUCAGCGUGAUUGGGGGACACCUGCUGAAUGGAGCAGGAGCCAUCUUGAAAAGGCCACGAGGACAGACAGACGGGAUCGGGAACCAUGGAGAGCUAGGAAGCCCAUGAGACGACGCAUUAGAGGCUCACGUCUCUUCCAGUUUCACAGGUUCAAGACUUUUUGAAGUAAAGUGGAGCAUCUCAUCUGAACCUGAUGUCUAUCAUGGAUAUUUAACUGCAGUUCUGUGAGUAUCCCAACUUAACCAUGAAGCAUAUCUGCAAACUGUAAGUCAUUAAUUUCUCAUUACUCUUGGGCACAUUGUUGUAUUUUGGCUUCCUGGUGAGUUAACCUGUUACCUGAAAGUUGAUCUGAGUAUUAAGGAUGUUUUAUUGGUUCAUGGGUUACUUAGGUGUUUGGUUUAUGUUGGUAUUAAUGAUUUGUUAAAAUGGUUACAGGCUCCAAGUUAUUGUUGUAAGCUGGAGUAAUGGGUUGGGUUCUGAUAUCUUCAGUCUCCUUCAUUCUUCUCUCCUGAGCUCUGCAUCUUCAUCAAAUGACUGUUGCUUUCCUGAGGAGGGUGUGGUCUGAGUGAGCAGAGGUGCAUACUGGGAUACAGAGCUGUCUCGAGUCUACAGGUCUGUGGACACGCCCCCUCAGGGGAAACCGAGUGUUUGAGAAACUGUCUUGACGUCAGUUACAUGGACUGGAAUGUUCUUAAAGAUGAAGACAGGGAUUCAGAAGGAGAAACACCAGGGGGAGAUGAGGGGGCUCCUCAUCUCAACGACUAAAACACAACUUCAGUCUGACACAGAACCAUGGAUCACAUUCAACAGUCCCCUCCAGGCAUCGUGACUCCUCAGGAACAGUUUCAUUUCCAAGAAGGUCUUAUUUGGGGCCAUCCCCAUAUGGAUCCUGCUCCUCAAGAGCCACCCCCCUCCACUGGGUGGUCUUCUGAACAGAUGACCUCCUUCCUGUCCUCAGGCUGACUAAAGCUGCACCGUUUGCAUCUGUGAAGGCCCCUCAUUCAGGAAACCACUGGACUACAAAGACAUGACUUCAGAGAUGUUGAAUCAACCUGGGACACAUUGGAGACGCCAAGCAUAAUCCAUCACCAAUGUGGGACGCCACCGAAGAAUGUUGUACAUAAUUUACGUCUCUGGAGACAUUGGUUGCUCUGUUAUGGGUGCCCUGGCAGGAGAGCUGGGGGGGGGGGGGGGGGGGGUGAUGGAAUGUUAUUUGUCAUGAGGUUUUUACCCUGCAUGAUUGUUUGGCCUUUUAUGGCUCAGUGGUGUGUGUUUGGGUUUGACAUGAGAUGGAAGAUUUUUGAGCAUCACUAGGGUUUUACUGCGCGUGUCUCCCACUCACGCCUGGCAUGGGGUUGUGUGUGUGUGUGUGUGUGUGUGUGUGUGGCUUGCUUUGACGGUGAUAAUGUUCAUACGGGGGUCUGUGUGAUUGGCUUGGGAUAUUGGAAUGGUCAACUAAAUCAUACCUGAUGGACGGCCACACGUUUACUUGAGGGCCUCCAGUAGACAUGAAGAGCCCUGAGCGACGCUCCGGAGCGAGAUCCAACACACUGGGCAGGAAGGAGAGUAUCCAACUCAAGUGUAAAAGGAUGCAAGUGGCGUGUUCAGAUCAGUGACUUCAAACUAGGACUGCACCAAUCAGGAUCAAUGGAGGAUGGACACCAAAAGGAAUUUCACAAGGAGAGUCUGACGUUGGAAAGGGACCUAAAUGGAUAUUCAAGAUGACCUUCAGACCUGUAAUGAGACGGCUCUUCCUAUCUGGCUGGAUUGAUGGAGAGCCCUGUGGAUCUUGUCUUGCUCUCAGUUGCACGUCUUCUCAGGCUGAACUGUAUUUGUUUCGGACAGGACUAGCUGAACGAUUGGUUCCCUUAAAUCAGAACCAAUCCGGGAACUCCAGCUAGUGCGCUCUUCGAGCUGAAGUUGUGCUCUUCAGCUGAGGAGGUGAGGAAACCUUCACUGGGGCUUCAAGGUGUAAAGAGGAGAAUGUUUCAAAGUGUUCCAUGGUACUCUGAUGAAGACCGUUGUUGUGUUCCACUGGCUGCGAGGAAGAACCCACACAUCUUCCUCUUGGCCUUUCUCCUCUGAGAAUCCUGGCGCCAUCUUAAAGGAUAUUCCAGCUCAUGUAACUGUCACGACAGAUUCUCAAACACUUGGUUACUCCUGAGGGGCGUGUCUAUGGAACUGAAGACUUCAGACGGCACUGUAUCCCAGCAUGCAUCUCUGCUCACUCAGACCACACCCCCAUGAGUAGGAUGCAGCACUCUAGUGAUGGAGAUGUAUAGUUUUAUAAGUAACGAGGGAGCAGACUAAGGUGAUAAGAACACAAUGGAAUGUCAAGUCUGUAAAUCUUUAAACCAUGAAGAUGGUUGGAUAGUUCAGGAAUUGGGCUUUUUAUUAUGGGCAGUCCUUUCACUCAGAUGCCCACUUCUCACUGGAGCUGUACAUGUGUUGGCUGGCUGGCAUGAUUUGCUGUGGGUGAUGAGGCGGUCAGGGUGACGUUGCAGGGCUAUGGUCGGCUCUCUGUGAGGUCAACGUUUAGAUUUGCUCUGUAUGGUUUGUACCCUGAAUAAUCUAGAUAAUUGUAAAAUGUAGACAUUUUUGUUUUGAAUGAUUUUAGGUUUAAAGUUGUUGUGGGACGUACAUGGUAGUUUGGUUCUUCGUAUGGUUUUGAGUGAUAUGACUUGUACACACUGGGUGCAUAAUAAUGUAAAUGUACACUGAAUAGUAGUAAUGACCAACAGCAACAAACAGAUCUCCUCAAGGUAAGUCUGUUGGCUGUGUUUUGAUGAAGACCAUCGCUGGACUUCAGGAUCUUCCUCCGUUCAGCUCAAGGUGAGGCGCUGGUUCUGUUUUUUCUUUGGUUGGUUCCGGCCGGAAUGUUCGGAUUCCAGUCGGACGGUUUGUGCUUCCCGCCGUGGAAGGUUCUGAGUGAGGUCACUUGAUUUAGUCCCAAUGGUUAGCAUAGAACGUUGUAGUCUUGACAACCAUAAGAAACCACCUGGUAGUUAGUUGGACGGGAGUCCCCUGAGGGAAUCUGGCGGAACGUUCUGGAUUGUAUUUGCGUAACCUCGAGCCGUUGCCAACGUAAUUUUUUUUUUCGGUCGGUUUCCAUUGCCAAUUGUUGCCCCUAUGUUAAACAACUAAAGUUUGAUAUUAAAUACAUACUGACACGUACGUCGUACAAUAUAUUGAUAAUUUCCGAUGGUUGCGCCGUACUCUUAACCACGAUGACGUUGCGGGACUCUCACUGCGUACAAAACCGCGUUCUACUUGCGGGCCCAUUUUUGACAUCAGGGAAGGCUUAACAUUUUUCAAGAUGGAAGAUAAUUUGACAUUUCUUCAACGGAACCCAGCACCUGAAUAUGGCUGAGUAUAUUUGAUUUAAAUAUCGAUACUGCUUAGUGUUCUUUGUUACCUCAGCUUUUGUACGUUCUAAAUAUCUGCUGUCAUUAAUUGCCACAGAAGUUAAACCCUACCCAAUGGAAUGACGUUAAACAACGAGUUAACUGGAUAAUAUAAAAGCUAAAAUAAUGUUCCCACAUGUUACAGUAGAAGAUACUCUAGAACCGUACAAGGUUAAAAAGGUAACAUGUAGUUUGUCCCAAGGUGUCUGCCUCCUCACCCAGAGCCAGACCUCCACCUCCUCACCCAGAGCCAGACCUCCACCUCCUCACCCAGAGCCAGACCUCCACCUCCUCACCCAGAGCCAGACCUCCACCUCCUGUCAGAAGUCCUCCAGAACAGCUGAAAGGCGAGGCUGAGAGGCUGGGGACCGGAGGCUUGUGGUGCCAGGGUGGACCGGAGACUGAGGCUGGAGACCAGGGGCCUGCAGCACCGGACCAGAGGACCAGGAAUCCAUGGCUGAAGGAGGUGAUGGAGGAGCCGUGCUGAUGGAGGAGCCCUGCUGAAGGCCCUGGGCUGGUGGAGGAGCUGGUGGAGGGCCUGCCUGGUGAAUGACGUCUGUCGUGGGGUAGAUGGAGCCUGACUCUGAAACCAGGACUCUGUCUGAGGAGAGCUGCUGGAGGAGCUGAGACGCUGGAGGAUGACUAGGAAUCGACCAACAAGGAUUCCUCAACGUGUUUCUGGAGCGGAGGCGAGCUGGUAGGGGAGCCGUGAAUCUGGAGGAUGACCAUCACUCUACCAACAAGGACUACUUUAGGGCCCGACUCGCGCUGUUUGUUCCAGACCAGGACUCUGGCUGAGGAGAGCUGAUGGAGGAGCCAAGACUCUGGAGGACGACAUCACUCCACCAACCAGGAUCCUUGUGUCUGCCUCCUCACCCAGAGCCAGACCUCCACCUCCUCACCCAGAGCCAGACCUCCACCUCCUCACCCAGAGCCAGACCUCCACCUCCUCACCCAGAGCCAGACCUCCACCUCCUCACCCAGAGCCAGACCUCCACCUCCUGUCAGAAGUCCUCCAGAACAGCUGAAAGGCGAGGCUGAGAGGCUGGGGACCGGAGGCUUGUGGUGCCAGGGUGGACCGGAGACUGAGGCUGGAGACCUGGGGCCUGCAGCACCGGACCAGAGGACCAGGAAUCCAUGGCUGAAGGAGGUGAUGGAGGAGCCGUGCUGAUGGAGGAGCCCUGCUGAAGGCCCUGGGCUGGUGGAGGAGCUGGUGGAGGGCCUGCCUGGUGAAUGACGUCUGUCGUAGGACCAGGACUCUGUCUGAGGAGAGCUGCUGGAGGAGCUGAGACGCUGGAGGACGACUAGGAAUCGACCAACAAGGAUUCCUCAACGUGUUUCUGGAGCGGAGGCGAGCUGGUAGGGGAGCUGUGAAUCUGGAGGAUGACCAUCACUCUACCAACAAGGAUUGGAAACCAGGACUCUGGCUGAGGAGAGCUGAUGGAGGAGGCAAGACUCUGGAGGACAACAUCACUCCACCAACCAGGAUCCUUAGACAAAUUACGUUUGUAACCAGACCAGGAAUCUGGAGGACUGAAGGAGAAGCCGUACAUCUGGAAGGCAAAUCCUGAGGAGCACCAGGACUCUCUUGCAUUAUCUGGACAUAGUGGACUAGACACACCUGAGCUGAACCUCACCUGAUCCUGUUUGGUCGGGGGUAGACACACCUGAGCUAAACCCGCCCUGAUCCUGACAUCCUGCUGGUCCCGUCUCCUCAGUUCACCUGAGCCUCGUCCUCCAGAAGACCUGCUGAGCUCAGCAGUCUGAGGCUGAUGGAUCAAUGACCUCCAGUGGGAGUGAUCUUCUUGACCCCACAUGUAACCGUGUGCUUCCACACGCCUUUCCUUCACGUCUGUCACUAACCUCACUACUCUCUACUGCUUCCUCUUUUCUUCCUUCUCUGUGGUUCAAACCUUUACACGGAAGGCGCGUCUUCCUGCCCUCAGAGGGUUUAGCGUUAGGGUUGAGAGUCAGGGUUUAGAGUCAGGGACAGAGCUGGUCAGGGAGGCCUGCUUUUACACAAACCUCUUCACUUGCUUUCGGAAUGGUGGUGACAUUAUGAAAAGAUUCAUUUGGGAAAAUGUUUUCCUCUGCUUUCCUUUACAAAAUUGUAUUAAACUUCUGUCAAGUGUUUUUGUUUGUAUUAAAAUCCCACAUUGACUUCUACAUGUUUGGUGCGG